GCAGCAUUUACUCAUGGGGAAUACCCAAGCAGUAUAUAUCGAGGGAGGGACAGAGUUCAAAAACAGCCAAUAGCUAUAAAACCAUUAUUGAGCUGCAUAAACCUUAGAAGACUCAAAAAAAAAGCCAAACAAGACAUCAAUAGGAUGUUGUCAUACAUUCUGCUCAGACAAGUUAAUUAACCUAGAGGCUGCAAGGUCAGCAACCUCCUGGCAUUCAAUAUCUGAAAUAUCCUAAAUAUAGUCAGAUAGGAAUUAAGGCCAUGAUAGCAUAAGUCAGAGAAGGAUAAUGCCAUUUUGAUAUAAAAUUUUAAAACCAAAUUGAUGACCUUAUCAGAUCAGAACCUUGACAAAAAGGCAUAACAGAAGGUUGGAUGAGAACAUACACACCAUGCUAUUAAACAUGGCGAGAAUUACACUGAGAAUCUCGCAACUCUCUGGAUGUAAUUAUUAAUGACGAUUCACACUGCUUCCUCUUGCCUUGUGAACUACUUACCUGUGGAUACAGGAAAUAAAUCAAUACCUGCCUGUCAGAAAGAGGCAGAGCCUAGUAGAGAAAUAAGUGUUAUUAAAACACUGCAAUAAUGAAUGAAUAUAUAUAUA